rnacentral:rRNA from 1 species
UACGAAGGGGGCAAGCGUUGUUCGGAAUUACUGGGCGUAAAGGGCGCGUAGGCGGCUUAUCAAGUCAGGCGUGAAAUUCCCGGGCUCAACCUGGGGGCUGCGCUUGAUACUGAUUGGCUUGAAUGCGGGAGAGGAUAGUGGAAUUCCCAGUGUAGAGGUGAAAUUCGUAGAUAUUGGGAAGAACACCGGUGGCGAAGGCGGCUAUCUGGACCAGCACUGACGCUGAGGCACGAAAGCGUGGGGAGCAAACAGG